rnacentral:rRNA from 1 species
AACGCUGGCGGCGUGCUUAACACAUGCAAGUCGAACGGAACUUCUUGGAUAGAGGCUUCGGCCAAUUGAAUUGAAGUUUAGUGGCGGACUGGUGAGUAACGCGUGAGGAACCUGCCUUUCAGAGGGGGGACAACAGUUGGAAACGACUGCUAAUACCGCAUGACACAUUCGGGCGGCAUCGCUUGAAUGUCAAAGCUUUAUGUGCUGAAAGAUGGUCUCGCGUCUGAUUAGCUAGUUGGUGAGGUAACGGCUCACCAAGGCGACGAUCAGUAGCCGGUCUGAGAGGAUGAACGGCCACAUUGGGACUGAGAUACGGCCCAGACUCCUACGGGAGGCAGCAGUGGGGAAUAUUGGGCAAUGGGGGAAACCCUGACCCAGCAACGCCGCGUGAAGGAAGAAGGCCUUCGGGUUGUAAACUUCUUUUACCAGGGACGAAGAACGUGACGGUACCUGGAGAAAAGCGACGGCUAACUACGUG